rnacentral:rRNA from 1 species
AUUGAACGCUGGCGGCAGGCCUAACACAUGCAAGUCGAGCGGGAACUUCGGUUCUAGCGGCGGACGGGUGAGUAAUGCGUAGGAAGCUACCCGACAGAGGGGGAUACCAGUUGGAAACGACUGUUAAUACCGCAUAAUGUCUACGGACCAAAGUGUGGGACCUUCGGGCCACAUGCUGUCGGAUGCGCCUACGUGGGAUUAGCUAGUUGGUGAGGUAAUGGCUCACCAAGGCGACGAUCCCUAGCUGGUUUGAGAGGAUGAUCAGCCACACUGAGACUGAGACACGGUCCCUACUCCUACGGGAGGCAGCAUUGGGGAAUAUUGGCCAAUGGGCGCAAGCCUGAUCCACCCAUGCCGCGUGUGUGAAGAAGGCCUUCGGGUUGUAAAGCACUUUCAGUAGGGAGGAAGAGUUGAGUGUUAAUAGUACUCAGCUUUGACGUUACCUACAGAAGAAGCACCGGCUAACUCUGUGCCAGCCGCCGCUGUAAUAC